GACGAACGCUGGCGGCGUGCUUAACACAUGCAAGUCGAACGGAAAGGCCUUGUUUUUGUGGGGUGCUCGAGUGGCGAACGGGUGAGUAACAAGUGAGUAACCUGCCCUUGACUUUGGGAUAUCUUCAGGAAACUGGGGCUAAUACCGGAUAGGAGCUCCUGCUGCAUGGGGGGGGCUGGAAAGUUCGGGCUGUUGGGGAUGGACUCGCGGCUUACCAGCUUGUUGGUGGGGUAGUGGCUUACCAAGGCUUUGACGGGUAGCCGGCCUGAGAGGGCGACCGGCCACAUUGGGACUGAGAUACGGCCCAGACUCCUACGGGAAGCAGCAGUGGGGAAUAUUGCACAAUGGGCGGAAGCCUGAUGCAGCAACGCCGCGUGCGGGAUGACGGCCUUCGGGUUGUAAACCGCUUUCGCCUGUGACGAAGCGUGAGUGACGGUAAUGGGUAAAGAAGCACCGGCUAACUACGUG
rnacentral:rRNA from 1 species